CUGCAUUCAGGACCCAUUCUAACCCAAGAUGAUCUCAUCUCAACUAAUUCCAUCAGCUAUGACCCUAUUUCCAAAUAAGGUCUCAUCCUGAGGUUCUGGGUGGAUGUGAAUUUGGGAGAAAUACUCUUCAACCCACUAUACCUUCCAGUGCUGACUAACGUCUGUAUUUAAAUAAACUCUGCAAUUAUCUCAGAAGACUUCCAGAAAGAAACACGUGCCUGUAUACCAGUGCUAUUUAAAGGAAAAGAAUUGCAGUGAAGUAAUAGUUUGACGGCUCCU
rnacentral:lncRNA from 10 species